ensembl:lncRNA
GACAAAGGACACCCAGGAAGGGUGUGCACUUAGAACAGAAGACAUCGGAGUGACUCAGUACCUAAGAAAUGCUGGGUCAUAAUACUGUUAUACAGGGAUAAUAGAUCAUUAUGCAAGUAUAAUUCCCUCCGGGUUUCAGUUUCUUCAUGUUUCCCACUUCUGUUUUUCUCCAUCUCUGUCUCCAUUCCCCCUCUCUCUGUCCCUCUGCCUUUAUGUCUCCCUCUCUCUCUUUCACUCUCAUUUCCAUCUCAUUCUCCCUGUGUCUCUCCAGGUCGACAGUCUCUUGGGAAGCUGGGCUUGUGGCCUCCACCCCAGACGGAUGAUAGUUUGGACGGCCAGUCUGAGGGCCUCCAGAGUCCUCACACUCCCAGGCUGAAGACUCCCCUGCUGCAGCGCUGGGAGUCGGGCAUGGUCAUGAACGGCACUGGAGCGGAGGAGGAAGACUGACAUGGCCCUCGAUCAGUUCGUCCUUGUAGAUCACAAUCGAUAAUAUUCCAUGGACAGCGAAGACCUGAUUCUAAAUCGGCACUCCUGGUCGCGGACACUUCACGAGCACGGGCGCUGAUCUACGGCUGAACGCCCAGGGAAAGGACACCGGGAAGAAUCGCAGCGGUGAAAUGGAGAAUUAGAAGUCAAGGAAAUCUGAAAUUGCACUGUUUGAAUAUCAGGACUUUGGAACUGAACUGUAUGUGUCGUGAGAGUAGCUGCCCAGUAUGAGAGCUUUUGGUCCCUUACAGUAAUUUGAAUGUGUUUUUCCCCAGAUGAUAAGAACUAAAUUAUCUACGGAAUGUUUAUGAGGCAGGAGGUUGUUGUUUUCCAUGUGCCAGUAUAGAUGUUAUAUGUGUGUGUGUUUAUAUAUUAUCCCAAGUUUCUGUUAACUCUAGCUAAGCCUUGUAUAUGUAAGGUGACGAGAAUGCUCUCACAUACAGGCAAAGAGUUUGCAUCCUUUUGUAGUGAAUAGCAUUGUAGUGUAACUGAACUCAUCUCAACCAAAUCAGGGUGGUCAACUCCUUAGUAAAAAAAAGAACAUCAGAUAUGACGCUAAUAAUAUCUCUGCCACAAGUGCCACACAA